CUGGUAAAAAGCUUGUAUUUUUAUUUUCUUAAAAAUUAGUUCUAAAUUAUGAGGAAAUGUGGUGUUCAGGAAACCACACAAUUAGUUCAGCUUUGAUUAAUGGAGCUUUGCACAGUCUUUGAUUUUUUAUAACAAAAAUACAAGCAAAAAAUGAAUUUUUUUUAUAAUCAAGUCAUGAAUGUUCUAUUUUAAUUUACAAUUAAUUCAGAGUUGAAGUGAAUCACUUUUUUGUGUUGCCUAACACCAUCUUUGACUAAUGCUGGUGUCUGUUAUGUAGUCAAAUAAAUCAAAAUGCAAUGCAAUGAA
rnacentral:misc_RNA from 1 species